CCUACGGGGUGCAGCAGUGAGGAAUAUUGGUCAAUGGCCGUAAGGCUGAACCAGCCAAGUCGCGUGAAGGAAGAAGGAUCUAUGGUUUGUAAACUUCUUUUAUAGGGGAAUAAAGGUAUCCACGUGUGGCUAUUUGCAUGUACUCUAUGAAUAAGCAUAGGCUAACUCCGUGCCAGCAGCCGCGGUAAUACGGAGGAUGCGAGCGUUAUCCGGAUUUAUUGGGUUUAAAGGGAGCGUAGGUGGUUGUUUAAGUCAGCGGUGAAAGUUUGUGGCUCAACCAUAAAAUUGCCGUUGAUACUGGAAGACGUGAGUGUGUUUGAGGUAGGCGGAAUGCGUGGUGUAGCGGUGAAAUGCAUAGAUAUCACGAAGAACUCCGAUUGUGAAGGCAGCUUACUAAGCCAUCACUGACACUGAGGCACGAAAGCGUGGGGAUCAAACAGGAUUAGAUACCCGUGUAGUC
rnacentral:rRNA from 1 species